CCCCUAGAUGUUCUGGGCCGCACGCGCGCUACACUGAACAGUUCAACAAGUCUUAACCUUGGCCGAUAGGCCUGGGUAAUCUUUGAACGCUGUUCGUGAUUGGGAUAGACCUUUGCAAUUAUGGGUCUUCAACGAGGAAUUCCUAGUAAACGCAAGUCAUCAGCUUGCAUUGAUUACGUCCCUGCCCUUUGUACACACCGCCCGUCGCACCUACCGAUUGAAUGGUCCGGUGAAAUCUCGGGACGGCGGCUUGGUCGCUUGCGUCCGACUGCUGAAACUUGAUUAAACCAUAUCAUUUAGAGGAAGGUGAAGUCGUANCA
rnacentral:rRNA from 1 species